CCUGCGCUGUCUUCUCCGCUGCUGCUGCUGCUGUGUGCUCCACACACUUAAACGCUGUCAAACGUUUCCGUAGCGCGGACGCAAAUUUUUUCCACAGACAGCGACACACCCAGGCGGACUCCGCCGAGCAGUGGGCGAGGCAGCCUGAACUCCGCCGGACCGUUCAAGAUGUGCCGGAGCGGGCAGGAGCGACCCGGCUGCUGUUGGUGGUCAAGAAAUACAUGCACCUAAAGCCAGAGGAAGAAAGAGGAAGGAGUCACCAUUUGCGCCUUAAAGCGGAUUGUGCAUCACUGCAGGCUCUCUCACGCUCGCCGGCUUCAUACCAGCUGAUGCACAGCAGUUCUUCACUGGCAAGCUUUAUGUUUCUGUACACAUGCUAAAGCUGCCAGCUGAAGAACUGCUCUGGCCAGCUCUGCUCCCGGAAGGCUCAAGAAGAGGAAGCAGAUGACGGGUGAUGGGAAUUUGGCUGAAGAGGACGUUUAUAACCUGUAAGAUUGGACCCAGAAACAUUGUAUAGAUUAUAGGCAGACAUGUUAUCUUUUUCCCACCAAAAACUGCUUGAAUUGUGUUUUUUAUGUCUUUCAAUAAAGCACAAAAUAUUUUCUCA